GACGAACGCUGGCGGCGUGCCUAAUACAUGCAAGUUGAGCGAUGAAGAUUGGUGCUUGCACCAAUUUGCAGAGCAGCGAACGGGUGAGUAACGCGUGGGGAAUCUGCCUUUGAGCGGGGGACAACAUUUGGAAACGAAUGCUAAUACCGCAUAACAACUUUAAACAUAAGUUUUAAGUUUGAAAGAUGCAAUUGCAUCACUCAAAGAUGAUCCCGCGUUGUAUUAGCUAGUUGGUGAGGUAAAGGCUCACCAAGGCGAUGAUACAUAGCCGACCUGAGAGGGUGAUCGGCCACAUUGGGACGGAGACACGGCCCAAUCGCCUACGGGAGGCAGCAGUAGGGAAUCGUCGGCAAUGGACGAAAGUCUGACCGAGCAACGCCGCGGGAGUGAAGAAGGUUGUCGGAUCGUAAAACUCUGUUGGUAGGGAAGAACGUUGGUGAGAGUGGAAAGCUCAUCAAGUGACGGUAACUACUCAGAAAGGAACGGCUAACUACGUG
rnacentral:rRNA from 1 species